UACGAAGGGGGCUAGCGUUGCUCGGAAUCACUGGGCGUAAAGCGCACGUAGGCGGCUUGUUAAGUCAGGGGUGAAAUCCUGGAGCUCAACUCCAGAACUGCCUUUGAUACUGGCGAGCUUGAGUCCGGGAGAGGUGAGUGGAACUGCGAGUGUAGAGGGGAAAUUCGUAGAUAUUCGCAAGAACACCAGUGGCGAAGGCGGCUCACUGGCCCGGUACUGACGCUGAGGUGCGAAAGCGUGGGGAGCAAACAGG
rnacentral:rRNA from 1 species